GACGAAGGGGGCUAGCGUUGUUCGGAAUUACUGGGCGUAAAGCGAGUGUAGGCGGUUGCCCAAGUCAGGUGUGAAAGCCUUGAGCUCAACUCAAGAAAUGCACUUGGUACUGGGUGGCUAGAGGACCGGAGAGGAUAGUUGAAUUCCCAGUGUAGUGGUGAAAUACGUAGAGAUUGGGAAGAACACCAGUGGCGAAGGCGGCUAUCUGGACGGUUACUGACGCUAAGACUCGAAAGCGUGGGGAGCAAACAGG
rnacentral:rRNA from 1 species